GACGAACGCUGCGGCGUGCUUAACACAUGCAAGUCGAACGGAGAGCGAUGGAAGCUUGCUUCUAUCAAUCUUAGUGGCGAACGGGUGAGUAACGCGUAAUCAACCUGCCCUUCAGAGGGGGACAACAGUUGGAAACGACUGCUAAUACCGCAUACGAUCUAACCUCGGCAUCGAGGAAAGAUGAAAGGUGGCCUCUAUUUAUAAGCUAUCACUGAAGGAGGGGAUUGCGUCUGAUUAGCUAGUUGGAGGGGUAACGGCCCACCAAGGCGAUGAUCAGUAGCCGGUCUGAGAGGAUGAACGGCCACAUUGGGACUGAGACACGGCCCAGACUCCUACGGGAGGCAGCAGUGGGGAAUCUUCCGCAAUGGACGAAAGUCUGACGGAGCAACGCCGCGUGAGUGAUGACGGCCUUCGGGUUGUAAAGCUCUGUUAAUCGGGACGAAAGGCCUUCUUGCGAACAGUUAGAAGGAUUGACGGUACCGGAAUAGAAAGCCACGGCUAAAC
rnacentral:rRNA from 1 species